UGUGUGUGUGUGUGUGUAUCAAAGUUCCUGGCUUUGGAUAAAAUUAGAUACAGGGGGAUCAGUUAAUUAUGAUUUUUUUUCCACAUGUUCCCCUCUCAGAUUCACACACUUACUGCAGCGGUCCUUCAGUUUUUCUAAGCCCAGUAAAUGAACUCAGAAGUUUGGACCU